UACGUAGGGCGCAAGCGUUGUCCGGAAUUAUUGGGCGUAAAGAGCUCGUAGGCGGUCUGUCGCGUCGGAUGUGAAAGCCCGGGGCUUAACCCCGGGUCUGCAUUCGAUACGGGCAGACUAGAGUGCGGUAGGGGAGACUGGAAUUCCUGGUGUAGCGGUGAAAUGCGCAGAUAUCAGGAGGAACACCAAUGGCGAAGGCAGCUCGCUGGGACGGUACUGACGCUGAGGCGCGAAAGCGUGGGGAGCGAACAGG
rnacentral:rRNA from 1 species